rnacentral:rRNA from 1 species
UACGUAGGGGCAAGCGUUGUCCGGAAUCAUUGGGCGUAAAGCGCGUGUAGGCGGUCCGGUAAGUCCGCUGUGAAAGUCCAGGGCUCAACCCUGGGAUGCCGGUGGAUACUGUCGGGCUAGAGUACGGAAGAGGCGAGUGGAAUUCCCGGUGUAGCGGUGAAAUGCGCAGAUAUCGGGAGGAACACCAAUUGCGAAGGCAGCUCGCUGGGACGUUACUGACGCUGAGACGCGAAAGCGUGGGGAGCAAACAGG